CUUAAACACACACCCAAAUCCCUUUGAUAAGUGUAUAAAAUCUGACUGCGUUAUGGUAAAGCACUAGUAAAAAUGAGCAACCUAAUAAAAGUAUGUAUCUUUUUUGCGUCGAUUUCCAGCGUGAUUUGCGAUCAGGACCAGGAUUUUUUCGCAAGUUUACCUUCGAUUGCUUUGAAACGAGAAAUGGAAUCAAAUGAUAGAAAGCCAGUCGAAAUGAUGUUGAGCCGUUUAAACCACUAUGCCAUAGAGAUGCGCCGUUUCUUGAAUCGAAUCAAGUCGGAGAGAACUGGGAGAGGCUUCAAAUCCGAGUCAAAUUUUGCGAACAAAGUGAUCUGUUUCCCGCGAGGCUGUAUCGACAUUUCCGACGUGGGAAUUCAUCCCUAAUUCCCCCAAAAAAAUCAAUAAAAAUCGUUCAUUAAUAA